GUUGAGCAGGAAGAGUGGGCCACUGUUUAUGAGAAUAAUUAUUUAAGAACAGGUGUCAUUAACAUAAGAUUAAUUGUCAAACUCAUUAGAAAAAGAACAAAAUGGAAUAUUGUUAUCACAUAAAAUCAGGAAAAUAUUAGAAGAAAAAUAGUAUAUGUUCCUGCUGGUAUCUUAAAGAGAAAGAAGAAUACUGGUUAAUUCAAAAAAGCAAAUAGCAAGGAAGCCGUAAGGUUGAAGAUAUAUUUCAAAACAGAAUCCUAGUUAUAACCGGACUUAGCUCUCUAUGAAAUUGGUUACCAGGCUUCAUUUCGGUUGCUGUCGCCUCUGGACCCCAUCGCCCCUGUUGAGAUCAAGAAUCCCAUUUCAAAGGAAACAUGCUUCAUCUUCUUGGCCUACCAAAUCAGAAAAAAAUCUUCAAAUUCAGAUGGAGCCACAAGGAUCCUUGAACAGCCAAAACAAUUUUGAGGAAGAAGAACAAAGCUGAAGGCCUCACUUCUCUGUUUUAAAAUAUAUUGCAAAGUAACAAUAAGUAAAACAAUAUGGUACUGGCAUAAAGACAGAAAUAUACACCAAUGGAACAGAAUAAAGAUCCCAGAGAUAAACACACACAGUUAACUGGUUUUCAAUAAGGGUACCAAGAAUAUAUAAUGAGGGAAAGAUGGUCUCUUUUACAAAUAGUGUUGGGAAAACUAGAUAUACACAUGCAAAAGAAUGAAAUUGGACCCUUGUCUCACACCAGAUGAGUCCUGUCCAAAAAAUCAACUCAAAAUGGAUAAAAGACUGAAACGUAAGACCUGAAACUGUAAAACUGUUAGAAGAAGACAUGGGAGAAAUCUCCUUGAUAUUGGUCUUGGCAAUAGUUUCCUAAAUAUGACACCAAAAGCACAGCCAAAAAAACAAAAACAGACAAGUGGAAUGACAUUAAACUAAAAAGCUCCUACACAGAGAAGGAAACAGUCAACUACGUGAAAAAGCAAUCUACAGAAUGGGAGAAAA
rnacentral:lncRNA from 1 species